AGACAAUGGGAAAAAUAUCCUUAGGUGUUCAUUCCUAAUAAACAACUUGUACCACAAACUUCUCAGAUCUUUUGGAGAAUCCAACAAAUACAAAUCUUAUCUUUGGAAAGAGGCACUUUGGCUUACCCCUGCUUAUAAACAACAGGCAAGAGCAGUAUUCAUGGAGGCCAAGACAUGGAG